CAGUGCAUUCUAGUUAGCUGAGAUUUGGCACGUCCCAGCCUCCGUACAUCCCUUGAGGACCAUACUUGUCAAAGGUUUCAAUACACGCUGAGCUCUUUGCGAACUUCAUCUGUUUCCAUCGCUGUGAUUUCUUCCCGACAGCGUUGCGUUAGGGCUGGAUGACGUCACGGACUGUAUCUGACUGUACGCAGCGCGUGCCGGGGAGCGCGUGCUCCGAGCACAUGGAAAAGGGCUCGAGACGAAGUGCCCGAAGAAUAACUCCACACCGGAAUAUAACAAUAACAACUUUGAUGUAAAGCAAACCGGACCUUCACAACAGCUGCCAGUCAGCCUGCCGUUCUCUCGGAUGCCUGAAACCGGAGCCACAAACGAAUCACGCCAAACUUUUAAGGAGAAGACCUACAUGCUUUGCCCCCCGUGAGCCAACAGCUCCUUGUCAUCAAAGUCAAUGAUGCUGCAUUGCUGUGAGAAGAUGAGGACCUGCUGUUGGCUGCAGACAGCUGGCUUUUACACGGUGGGCGUAAAAAUGUGUAAAAGGGGGUGAAUGAGCAGAGAGCCGAUGAAUGAGACCUUCCUCAUCAUUGAUGGUGCACCAUUACACUCGCCUGCCACCGAUUGGAUGGGACAGAGAGGCGCGCAUUCCUGUCGUAUCGCCUUACAGCAAGGGGAAUUUGCCGAAAGACGAUUCGGCGAACAGCUUGCUGCGAAUGGCUGACUCUUAUGUUUCACAGAACGGUUUCAUGCUGGAUCAAUGCAGCCCGCCACACACGCACGCAUGCAUUCAUGCACACAUACGUCGCUUAGUCCUCUGCGUGUCUUUCACAAAAGCCCCUGCUAUGAGGGUUUAUGGAAUGAGAGAAGGUUAAAAAAACUUUACCUCCUGUGCAUUCGGUUACAUAGUGUGCUUUAUACAGCCUGGCCCGAUGUUGACCUGACAAAACUGGUCUCGGUCUGUAAAACCACAGAUAACGGAAAUGCACAAUGAGAAAAGUAUAUACAUUCUUAAAAAAAACUAUGAAUAUUAUAUUUUUCUUGAGGUCGUGUUAACAUGGAAUGUGCAAACAGGAUCCAUCAGCAUCCAUCCAGAAACACUUGGGUUUCAUUCCAGAGUAACACUUAAUAGAUCAAGUACUCUGACAUGUCACAUGAAUGGGAAUGUGCCUUCAACAGCAUUAUGGAAUCGCUAUUUUUAUUCCGGAUCAUGACGGAGGAAGUGUUUAAUACGUGUGCCUUUAACUCGAUGUUGAUAAUAAUAAUAAUAAUAAUAAAUGAGUGCAUUGUAAAGUUGAGAUGUUGCAGGCCAAAUUUAAACCUCCUUUAAUUACAUCAGCACCAUGGCCCAACAUAUCUAGCCCCUCACCAAUGUUUAACCCGAGAAAAGACUGCAAUGAUCUCACUUAAGUUGUGUCUCCUCCCGAGCUUCAAAAGUCAAUGUCAACACGCUUCAACCAAAACAUAAUAUUCAAACAUUACUCAUUAUAUUCCUUAAUGACAAAAUAAUCUGAGCUAUACUAUCAACCAAUUUUAUAGCCUUAUAUUCAUACUGUAUGUCAACCAUUGUCUGUAUAAGAAACAUCUGAAACUAGGUUGAUAAUUCAAAGAAACAUUAGAGCAAAACUCCAUUAAGUCUUGUAAUAAAAAAACUAUAAAGAUUUCCUCCGUAAAAAUGAGCUUGUUUGCUCUUAUACAUAAUCAAAUUGCUUAAAUGAUAUCUUUGUGUUUAUCCUGUAUUAUCUACAUGAAUGCUAUCUAUUAAAUAUCUAUCUCCUAAUCUGUCUAUCUACAAAGUCACAUCUGUCAGUAUUUGAAUGACCCCAUUGACUUCAGUGCAUUCUCAGUGUCUGCCCCCUAUAGAAUCAGGGUAUAGGUUAGAGAUAGUGUGUGCAUGUGUGUGCGUGUGAAUGUGUCAAGCUGGUCCUUUCUGAAAGAGCCUCUCCCCUUCUUACACAUUCCUGCCAAA